AAAUAAACAAAGAAAACACAGCAUAAUUUAUAAUGGAACUUGAAACUAGUGCAAAAUUUAAAAGUACAAACAAAAAUAAGAAAGAGAAUACAUAUUAAAUGCUGGCAUUUCACUAACUUGCUUAUAUCAUUGUUUUUGUUCUAAGAAAUUCAUAAACAGGAAAAAUCAAAUAAAAUAAAAGCACCCAGGUCUUACAACGUACCAGCCCUGAUCGGUUAAAAUUUAUUGAAUUCAACAUACCAGUUUCCUAAGCUAGAACCCAACUUAUCUUUUAAAGUGUUCUGAAUUCGAAUCCCAGAAACCAUAUACUAAAUUUAAACAAAUCCACUGUUCAUAUACAUACUAAGAAUUUUGUGGCCCAAAACCCAGAUUUUUUUUUCUACUCAAAAUCACUUAUUUUUUAGUGCAAGAUUCUUAGAAGCUAAUGGUAAGUAAUUGGGAAAUUUGAAACAAAAACGAUGUGGGAAAGUGUAUGCUAACCAACUGGAAUUGAUAA
rnacentral:misc_RNA from 1 species